CGUAGGGUGCGAGCGUUAAUCGGAAUUACUGGGCGUAAAGCGUGCGCAGGCGGUUUAGUAAGACAGGCGUGAAAUCCCCGGGCCCAACCUGGGAACUGCGCUUGUGACUGCUAAGCUAGAGUACGGCAGAGGGGGGUGGAAUUCCACGUGUAGCAGUGAAAUGCGUAGAGAUGUGGAGGAACACCAAUGGCGAAGGCAGCCCCCUGGGUCGAUACUGACGCUCAUGCACGAAAGCGUGGGUAGCAAACAGGAUUAGAUACCCUGGUAGUCCACGCCCUAAACGAUGUCAACUAGGUGUUGGGAGGGUAAAACCUUUUAGUACCGGAGCUAACGCGUGAAGUUGACCGCCUGGGGAGUACGGCCGCAAGGUUA
rnacentral:rRNA from 1 species